CAGUAGCCGCGGUAAUACAGAGGGUGCGAGCGUUAAUCGGAUUUACUGGGCGUAAAGCGUGCGUAGGCGGCUUUUUAAGUCGGAUGUGAAAUCCCUGAGCUUAACUUAGGAAUUGCAUUCGAUACUGGGAAGCUAGAGUAUGGGAGAGGAUGGUAGAAUUCCAGGUGUAGCGGUGAAAUGCGUAGAGAUCUGGAGGAAUACCGAUGGCGAAGGCAGCCAUCUGGCCUAAUACUGACGCUGAGGUACGAAAGCAUGGGGAGCAAACAGGAUUAGAUACCCGGGUAGUCCCUGUCUCUUAUAA
rnacentral:rRNA from 1 species